rnacentral:tRNA from 1 species
UCCAGGGUGCCAGAGUGGUAAUGGCGUCGAUUGCUAAUCGAUAAUCGGAGGUUCGAUCCCUUCCCCUGGAGCCA